rnacentral:rRNA from 1 species
CCAUGCAGUCGAGCGGAACGAGUUAUCUGAACCUUCGGGGGACAUGCAAGUCGAGCGGAAACGAGUUAUCUGAACCUUCGGGGAACGAUAACGGCGUCGAGCGGCGGACGGGUGAGUAAUGCCUAGGAAAUUGCCCUGAUGUGGGGGAUAACCAUUGGAAACGAUGGCUAACUGGGGUACCGCAUGAUGCCUACGGGCCAAAGAGGGGGACCUUCGAAAGGCCUCUCGCGUCAGGAUAUGCCUAGGUGGGAUUAGCUAGUUGGUGAGGUAAGGGCUCACCAAGGCGACGAUCCCUAGCUGGUCUGAGAGGAUGAUCAGCCACACUGGAACUGAGACACGGUCCAGACUCCUACGGGAGGCAGCAGUGGGGAAUAUUGCACAAUGGGCGCAAGCCUGAUGCAGCCAGGUUGCCGCGUGUGUGAAGAAGGCCUUCGGGUUGUAAAGCACUUUCAGUCGUGAGGAAGGUAGUGUAGUUAAUAGCUGCAUUAUUUGACGUUAGCGACAGAAGAAGCACCGGCUAACUCCGUGCCAGCAGCCGCGGUAAUACGGAGGGUGCGAGCGUUAAUCGGAAUUACUGGGCGUAAAGCGCAUGCAGGUGGUUUGUUAAGUCAGAUGUGAAAGCCCGGGGCUCAACCUCGGAAUAGCAUUUGAAACUGGCAGACUAGAGUACUGUAGAGGGGGGUAGUAGAAUUUCAGGUGUAGCGGUGAAAUGCGUAGAGAUCUGAAGGAAUACCGGUGGCGAAGGCGGCCCCCUGGACAAGCAAAGACACUCAGAUGCGAAAGCGUGGGGAGCAAACAACGAUGGAUACCCUGGUAGUCCACGCCGGAAACGAUGUCUACUUGGAGGUUGUGGCCUUGAGCCGUGGCCCUGGGGAGUACGGUCGCAAGAUUAAAACUCAAUAGACCGCCUGGGGAGUACGGUCGCAAGAUUAAAACUCAAAUGAAUUGACGGGGGCCCGCACAAGCGGUGGAGCAUGUGGUUUAAUUCGAUGCAACGCGAAGAACCUUACCUACUCUUGACAUCCAGAGAACUUUCCAGAGAUGGAUUGGUGCCUUCGGGAACUCUGAGACAGGUGCUGCAUGGCUGUCGUCAGCUCGUGUUGUGAAAUGUUGGGUUAAGUCCCGCAACGAGCGCAACCCUUAUCCUUGUUUGCCAGCGAGUAAUGUCGGGAACUCCAGGGAGACUGCCGGUGAUAAACCGGAGGAAGGUGGGGACGACGUCAAGUCAUCAUGGCCCUUACGAGUAGGGCUACACACGUGCUACAAUGGCGCAUACAGAGGGCGGCCAACUUGCGAAAGUGAGCGAAUCCCAAAAAGUGCGUCGUAGUCCGGAUUGGAGUCUGCAACUCGACUCCAUGAAGUCGGAAUCGCUAGUAAUCGUGGAUCAGAAUGCCACGGUGAAUACGUUCCCGGGCCUUGUACACACCGCCCGUCACACCAUGGGGAGUGGGCUGCAAAAGAAGUAGGUAGUUUAACCUUCGGGGGGGACGCUUACCACUUUGUGGUUCAUGACUGGGGGUGAAGUCGUA